GACGAACGCUGGCGGCGUGCUUAACACAUGCAAGUCGAACGGAAAGGCCCUGCUUGCAGGGUACUCGAGUGGCGAACGGGUGAGUAACACGUGGGUGAUCUGCCCUGCACUUCGGGAUAAGCUUGGGAAACUGGGUCUAAUACCGGAUAGGAACCAUCUUUAGUGUGGUGGUUGGAAAGUUUUUUCGGUGUAGGAUGAGCUCGCGGCCUAUCAGCUUGUUGGUGGGGUAAUGGCCUACCAAGGCGGCGACGGGUAGCCGGCCUGCGAGGGUGUACGGCCACAUUGGGACUGAGAUGCGGGCCAGACUCCUACGGGGGGCAGCAGUGGGGAAUAUUGCACAAUGGGCGAAAGCCUGAUGCAGCGACGCCGCGUGGGGGAUGAAGGCCUUCGAGUUGUAAACUCCUUUCGCUAGGGACGAAGCGUUGUUGUGACGGUACCUAGAUAAGAAGCACCGGCUAACUACGUG
rnacentral:rRNA from 1 species